GAAGUAUUCCCUUUUACUCAAAUUUUUUGUCUUAGAUUUGUCUAGAAAUAAAUGUAUCUAAAUAUUAAAACAUGACUAGAUACAUUCAUAUCUAGACAAAUAUAAGACAAGAAUUUUGAGACUGAGGGAGUACUUA
rfam:Hordeum vulgare subsp. vulgare, WGS project CAJW01000000 data, contig: morex_contig_1577574